GUUAAUGUAACUUAAUGGAAAAGUAAUAUAUAAAUUAUAUAUUAAUCUAAGUUCGAUUCUUAGCUUUAGCU